CGGAGCGUAGCGCAGUCCGGUAGCGCACUCGCCUGGGGGGCGAGGGGUCGUAGGUUCAAAUCCUAUCGCUCCGACCA
rnacentral:tRNA from 1 species